UUCUUGGAUUGAUUGAAGACUAACUACUGCGAAAGCAUUUGCCAAGGGAUGUUUUCANCCCUUUAGNGAACGAAAGUUAGGGGAUCGAAGACGAUCAGAUACCNNUNGUAGUCUUAACCAUAAACUAUGCCGACUAGGGAUCGGACGGUGUUAGUAUUUUGACCCG
rnacentral:rRNA from 1 species